GCCUCUCGGCUUCGUUUUCUGUCGGGUUACACCCAGCAACAAACCUGCCCCUCUCGUCUGAACCAAGGCACCUUCCAACGAGCCCCUUGGGUAACAAAGCACAUGAAAACAUGGGGGUUUUCCAGCCACGGGAGCCCCGGAGAGCCCCAAGCCCGGCUGGGUACGCGUGUUGAGCUGCUCUCCGAUGCUGCAGGCUCUCCGGGCAGGCAGAGCAUCCCGGGAUAUACAGAGCAAUCCCUGGGAUUUGGUCACCUCUCCGGCCUCCUCCGCAGAGCUCCCCCUCCUCGCCCGGCACACAAUCCUCAUGUGCUGCCCCUGGCUCACUCCUAGAGAGCAGAACCUCGGACCCACAGGGAUGUCAGUAUCCCCAGUUCCACUUCGGGCAAUUCCUCCUUUAACCUCUUCUGCAUGAAAAUACCCGUUUCUCUGCAGAGAGCUGUCCUGGUUUUAGGACAAGCAGUGAUGAGCCACAAGUGAUGGAACACAAGUUUUGAGAUUUGCAUUUUGGAGAAGACUGAAAACGGGUUUCAGAAAACUGAAAGUGGCCAACAUAACCUGUGAAAAUAGGUCAGAGAUAAGGUUACAUCAAGCCAAGUAUAAACACACUCAGUAUGCAAUAAUUUAGAACCACACUAACAUCCCAUUAAAAAUAUUCAUUUUUUAAAGGAGGUGCUCUGUGUAGCAAGUGCUAACUGAAGCAUUCAAAUUUUAGAACAGAUGAUGCAAAAGAAGGUUAUUUAAAAAUAGAAUCUCCACCACCUCUUUCUCCACUCAGAGUUCACAGAGAGAGAUGCAAAGCAAUUCUUACAAAGUGACUCAAAACUUCCCAGCCACUGUGUGUGGCUGGCUUCAGUCAUAAAUGGAGUUUCCUUUUCUUUGAAAAAGUUAGGCUGUAAGCUUUCAAUAAAUCCCUCCCCCUGUAAUGCCAAAGCUUGCAGUCUCCUUCCCAAGCUCCAUCUAAUAUAACUCAUGCUUUCUGGAGUCUACAGACACAGGUAUUUGGUGACAGCAAGUGACAAACUGAAGUUCAGAAGCCCUGUUGUAACUGAGUUUAACCAAUGAAUUACCAAUCACUGGAACAGUUUAGUUUGGGGACAAAAUCAAGUGGUACAAGUCAGAGUUGUACAGAGAAAAAAGUAUUUCUGAAGAGAAGACAGAUAGGAAAGGAAAAAAGGAACAGAGAAAUAAGGAGACAACAGUAAGAUGGUGAUUUUAAAAGAAAGUUUAUUUGCAAUCUGAAAGCAAUUAAGAAAGGGAAGUAGUGAAUAAAUAUGUAGCUAACAAAAUGCACAGCUGCUAUGUAAGAGUUCACAGGCUCUGUGUCCAUGCUGCUCUGAAUUUGCACCCCUUGUUCUUUUGCUGCAGGUCCUGUACUCUGACAGGACCAUGAACAGCAGCGUUGAAGAGGUGACUUCUGCCCAGACUGAGAGAGGAACUCUGCUCCCCUGUGACAGCUGUGAUUGUCAUGAGGAGCCCUGGCAGCAGCCUGGCUGAAGAGCCCCACAGAGCCAAUUCCCUCCCAGAGAGCACCUGAGCAAUGGACAUCACCAGGGGAGGAAGAAGCUGAGUGAGGAGGAGCUCUGCAGGCUUCCACUGUGCCACACUCUUCCAGUCAAAUCAUCCCAAAUUCUCUGAAGCUGAGUAAAUUGCACCUCUGAACUGCUACAUCUUGCAGACUCAAGCCCCGAUUCUUCCAUAAGAUGUAACAGCACACAAACUGAUGGCUAGGCAGUGCCUGGCUGAUAUUCCUACAAAUUUGAGUGGUUUAACGGAGUUCAGGAUAUCUAUUUACAAAAUUGGUUCUUUUCCUUUUUAUAAUACUUGUUUUUAGGGUGCACUGAAGAUUUUGCUACUAGAAAUAUUUAUCUGGAGCAGUACACACUCACAGGCAAACAGCUGCUUUUAACUAGGAGUUUUCAAGCUCAAGGAAACCAUUGUUUCCAACUUUUGUGGCUAGCAGGGGAAGUGAAAUAAGAAUGGGGAAGAUACAGAACAAUGGCCAAUUUGUCUGGCUGUCAGAACUGCCAGAGAAGUGGCAUUGCCAUCUUGUCAGGAUUCCUGCACUUGCAAGCUCAUCUGAAAUCCUCCAAAACCACUUCCAUCAAAUUGGAAGAGUUCUGCCAAAACCUGGCUGAAACCCAUUCUACAUCAGGCAGCAUAAUUCACCUUAUCAGGGAAGGUGUAAAUGGAGUGAAAGAAAAGAGGAAGAAGGUAAAACUGCUUUUAUGAAAAACAGAAACACUACAGGCACCUGUGCCAAGGCCGUUGGUGGAGAACUGAGAGCAGAGAGAUCUUUGCUGUUUUCCCAGCUUUUAUCUUGGUUUUCAGCAGGUACCCAGGGACCAGUGUGCUUAUCACAGUGCCAGCAAUGCCAUUCCAGUGCUCACACAAGACUUGGCAUAUACAGGGACAACAGGUCCCAGUGGGAGUGUGCCAACUGGGAGAUGUUGUGUCUGGGCCACUGACAGCCUAAAGGUGAGCAGUUUAAAGAUUAUUUUAUCUGGGGUUGUGCUGCUAACAGCUGCUGGUAGCUGGCAACCUCUUUCUCUUCAAUUACAAGGUCCAGAGUUAAAUGAGUUUCCCAUCAAAAAUGGACUUUGUAUAUCCAAAGACAUGCCAACAGCUUCCAGUUCUUGUUCUCUUUUUAGUCUAUAGUCUGCAGGCAGAGAGAACAUUUCUCAGGGAUUUAUUCACCCAGGAACUCUAAUAAGAGAACAAGGUAGAGAAUAGAAUGGGGAUUUUGACAGCACCACAGUUUCCACAAAGUAAAUAGCAACUUCUGGAUCCAAAAUCUAGGAAUUUCAGGGAAGAUCCAAAGGUACUCAGAAGUUAAAAUGUACAAAGUACAUUAAAAAGGUACAGGUUGUGCCAAGAAGUACAAUUCAGUAAUUCUCUGUGACUACAAGAGCACACACUCAUGACAGUUUCUAGUGACUCCCUUUUUUGUUUUUAAGUCUACUUCUUAACAUUUGAAAUCUGCUUAAUAAGAAAAAUCGCAAAACAGUCUGUUCCUGAGAGUUGUAUUCAGAUAAGAAAUUUCCUCCAAAACAUAUGAAGAGUGGAAGAUUGCCAUGACUGAAACAGGUACAAUGAGAAUGUCCUAUUCCUCUGUUGAGGCAAAGUUAAAAUUAGCAAAAUAGAAAGAUUUUGUACCAGCAAUUAAAAACCUCACAAUGUCUAAUGCAGAGAAACGAAGCAGUCACUACACUACUAAUUUACCUCCAUCAAUAACCUCUUUCCUUUUUCUCCUUCAGGGAACACACAAAACCAUAAGAGAGGUACUGUGCCUUUUUUCAAAUCUGCUACUCUUCUAACAAUCUCUUAUGUGCAUAUUUAAGAACCUGAGAAGGAUUGGAUUUAAGGGGGUCACAUUUCCAGCAGAGAUAAAUACACAGACUGUGUAGGACUAAGUGCUCACCUGUUCAUACAGGCUUCUAUGUUUAUUGGGAUAAUUCAUAUAAGCUUUUAUGUUUAUUGGGAUAAUUAAAGUCUGCUUUGAAUAUAACCCUCAGAAAGUCUGGUAUCACCUCUUCCUGAUAGGGUGAGGUGUCAACAACUUAGUGCUAAUGGUGAUAGCCUAAUGAGCUAAUGUAGGAUUUUCCUCUGGCCAACUGAACUCCACCAGCAGAAUGAAAAACAGAAUCAAAGGAAUGCCAAACUGAUGGGACAUUUCACAAUACACAUAACACAACAAGAUAAAAUGCUUGCUUCUCUGCCUCAGUUUGAGUGCAGUUUACUACCUCCAACAAAAGAACUGAAAAUGGCUCUUGAUUUUUGUUUUGUUGUCAUAGGUGUCUAUGCUUUAGAAGGUUUUUAUCCAUAGAAUACAGGAUACUUUUGGGGAAAAUGGUGCUCAAAUAUAUACUUUGCAAGUAAAAAAGUAGGAGUACCUCAUUAUAACCAAGGGGAUGGAGUUUGAUUUUAUGUAUCUGCAAAGACAAAGCAAUUUCCAUUUUUUCAAGACAAAAAUUAUGUACGCUGAAUAAAUAAAUUUUUUAAAGCUUCAAACAACUCUAAGUUAAUAGCUGAACAGGACACAAGUUACCUGUCACUUCCAGUCUCUCAAAAC